CACGCUACUUUGUUGGCCCCUGGGGAGGUGGUGCAGCCAGGCGGGUAAGGAGGACUCGCGCCAUCAGCGGGGUCUGAGACAUGGUGUGCCCAGUGGGCAGAGAAUAGGCCUGUGGUUUUUAAGAACCUCACUGAUAUCGAAUGUGUCUUGGAGUGAGAAAGUUUUUAAUGGAAAAGGAGCAAGAGGGAGUGAUGAAAUAGGAGAGACCGGGAAGAGCGAGAAGCUACACGCUGGGCUGCAGAUUGGGCCCUAGUGGGCUUGGAGCGUGGAUAUGUUGGCUGGCCCCCCUCCCCGGGAGUCACAGCUCUCGCCGGUCUCGCCACUCAGGCUCUGCCGGGUACCCAGGAGGCUUGC
rnacentral:lncRNA from 1 species